UGUAGCACCUACCUGAAGCUGUGCCAUCAGAGGCUGUGAUAGUGUCUCAGCUCACAGGCUAAGCAGCUUAGGAUCUGGUCAGUACUUGGAUGGGAAACCUCAAAGGAAAGCCCAGCUGCUGAAU
ensembl:rRNA 5S_rRNA 5S ribosomal RNA